rnacentral:rRNA from 1 species
AGUGAACGCUGGCGGUAGGCCUAACACAUGCAAGUCGAACGGCAGCACAGUAAGAGCUUGCUCUUACGGGUGGCGAGUGGCGGACGGGUGAGGAAUACAUCGGAAUCUACUUUUUCGUGGGGGAUAACGUAGGGAAACUUACGCUAAUACCGCAUACGACCUACGGGUGAAAGCAGGGGAUCUUCGGACCUUGCGCGAUUGAAUGAGCCGAUGUCGGAUUAGCUAGUUGGCGGGGUAAAGGCCCACCAAGGCGACGAUCCGUAGCUGGUCUGAGAGGAUGAUCAGCCACACUGGAACUGAGACACGGUCCAGACUCCUACGGGAGGCAGCAGUGGGGAAUAUUGGACAAUGGGCGCAAGCCUGAUCCAGCCAUACCGCGUGGAUGAAGAAGGCCUUCGGGUUGUAAAGCCCUUUUGUUGGGAAGGAAAGGCAGCAGGUUAAUACCCCGCUGUUCUGACGGUACCCAAAGAAUAAGCACCGGCUAACUUCGUG